rnacentral:rRNA from 1 species
AUUGAACGCUGGCGGCAGGCCUAACACAUGCAAGUCGAACGGUAACAGAAAGCAGCUUGCUGCUUUGCUGACGAGUGGCGGACGGGUGAGUAAUGUCUGGGAAACUGCCUGAUGGAGGGGGAUAACUACUGGAAACGGUAGCUAAUACCGCAUAACGUCGCAAGACCAAAGAGGGGGACCUUCGGGCCUCUUGCCAUCGGAUGCGCCCAGAUGGGAUUAGCUAGUAGGUGGGGUAACGGCUCACCUAGGCGACGAUCCCUAGCUGGUCUGAGAGGAUGACCAGCCACACUGGAACUGAGACACGGUCCAGACUCCUACGGGAGGCAGCAGUGGGGAAUAUUGCACAAUGGGCGCAAGCCUGAUGCAGCCAUGCCGCGUGUAUGAAGAAGGCCUUCGGGUUGUAAAGUACUUUCAGCGGGGAGGAAGGGAGUAAAGUUAAUACCUUUGCUCAUUGACGUUACCCGCAGAAGAAGCACCGGCUAACUCCGUG